UGCGUAGGCGGGCUUGUAAGUCAGUGGUGAAAUACUGCCGCUCAACGGUAGAACUGCCAUUGAUACUGCAAGUCUUGAAUAUGGUUGAGGUAGGCGGAAUGUGUCGUGUAGCGGUGAAAUGCAUAGAUAUGACACAGAACGCCAAUUGCGAAGGCAGCUUACUAAGCCAUUAUUGACGCUGAGGCACGAAAGCGUGGGGAGCGAACAGGAUUAGAUACCCUGGUAGUCC
rnacentral:rRNA from 1 species